CAUGCACGUCUAAGUACAAACUAAAUGAUGGUGAAACUGCAAAUGGCUCAUUACAACGGUUAUGAUGUACCCGGGAGUUCCGAUGGAUAUUUCCAGUAACACUAGAACUAAUACAUGCUCCUGCGUUUAUUAGUUUCGCACAGUCCGUCGCUGAGUCAUGGUAAACAGUUGAUCGACUCGACGUCCCGGAACAGUUUCCGCCCCAUCAGCUUCGAUGGUUGGGUAUUGGCCUACCAUUGCAACAACGGGUAACGAGGAAUUAGGGUUUGAUUUCGGAGAGGGAGCCUGAGAAACGGCUACCACAUCUACGGAUGGCAGCAGGCGCGCAAAUUACCCAAUGCAGACUCUGUGAGGUAGUGACGAGAAAUAAUAAAGCGGGACUUCUGUUUCGCUAUUAUAAUGAGGAAUAACCAAAGGUCAUUCCGAUUAGCAACUGAUGGGAAAGUCUGGUGCCAGCAGCCGCGGUAAUACCAGCGUCAGUAGCAUAUAUUAAAAUUGUUGCAGUUAAAACGUCCGUAGUCUGUACGUCGUCCCAAACUCACUGCAGUCUUCCGUUUUCUUCAUUGAAUGCGGUAGUUUCUACAGUCACUCCCUUGAUCAAAUUAGGUUGUUCAAGGUAGACCAAGUCUUCAUAUUUUCACAUGGAAUUGGGUGAGGGAACUUAAGAGUUUAAGUUUCUCGUCUUAGGAUCAUCCGGGGUCAUUCGUACUCGUCCGCGAGAGGUGAAAUUCUUGGAC
rnacentral:rRNA from 1 species